CUCGACCAUCAUUGUUUGGGGUCUAUCAAAUUUAUUUUUCCUGACUAGAGUCAACUCCAGCCCUGGAAUUUUUUAGAUCUUUGAUUCCAAGGAGUUUUGAGAAAUUAGGAUGAAGGCACUUAUUCUUGUUGGAGGUUUUGGUACUCGGCUGAGGCCAGUAACUGUUAGUGUCCUAAAGCCACUGGUUGAUUUUGCCAACAAGCCCAUGAUUUUGCAUCAGAUCGAGGCUCUCAAGGCUCUUGGAGUGACUGAAGUGGUCUUGGCUAUUAACUACCAGCCAGAGGUCAGCUUCUCUCCAUUAGAGAUCGUAAAUAUAUAAUGAGCAACUAAAAGAAUAUACAAAUGUUAUUUCACGCAGGUGAUGCUGAACUUUUUGAAAGAAUUUGAGACAAAAAUGGGGAUUAAGAUUAUAUGUUCUCAAGAAACUGAACCACUUGG